ACUUGUUGGAUAUACUUCUGGAAUCCAAUUUUAGAGAAAUACAAGAGCAUGGAAAUACCAAGAUCGUCGGAAUGAGCAUUGAAGAUGUGGUUGACGAAUGUAAAAUAUUCUACUUUGCUGGACAAGAAACAACCUCAGUUCUUCUUACCUGGACCAUGGUUUUAUUGGCUCAGUAUCCGAAAUGGCAAGCACGCGCAAGAGAAGAGGUUGUGCAAGUCUUCGGUAACAAAAAACCAGAUUUCGAUGGGCUAAAUCACCUUAAAGUUGUGAGUAUCUCUGCAUUUGCAACUGAAUUCUUGUACAUCAAUAUUGUGUUGUUAUUGUUAAGAACACAGAGCAUUCUUGUAUUUAAAAUGAAAGCUUAGGUAUCCUUUGAAGAAACAAUAAGAUAGCAGAAAAAAAACGUUCAUGUUUUCUUUCGUUGAAUUAUUAAUCGGCCAAAAUGACGAGGAAAAGCAACCAACAGAUGAGUACGCAAGCAAGCUAGGACGUGACAUCUAUAUACAUUAAGAAUGAGAUUUACUAGUUCUUGGAUCAACAUAAAAAUUCUCAAUUUAGUAAGUUGAAAUGGCAUGCAAAUGAUCUCUAUAUAUGCGAUAUUUUAUUUUAUCAAAGUGCAUAGCAUGUCACCUUUUUAAUGGAUUCUUACCAUGGAGUAUCGUUCUCUCUUUUGAUGCAUGUUACAGGUUACCAUGAUUUUGUAUGAAGUUCUUAGGUUAUACCCGCCGGUAAUUAUGCUUAAUCGAGAUGUUCAUGAAGAAAUAAAGCUUGGAAAUUUGCUAUUACCUGCCGGAGUGCAGAUCUCGGUGCCAACAAUCCUCCUUCACCAAGAUCAUGAACUAUGGGGUGAUGAUGUCUCUGAGUUCAAACCAGAGAGGUUUGCUGAAGGUGUUUCAAAGGCAACAAAGAGUCAAGUCUCAUUCCUUCCAUUUGGAUGGGGUCCUCGAAUAUGCGUUGGACAAAACUUUGCUUUGAUUGAAGCAAAAAUGGCUUUGGCAAUGGUUUUACAGCGUUACUCUUUUGAGCUCUCGCCGUCGUAUAUUCAUGCUCCUCGCACUGUCAUAACUCUUCAGCCACAGCACGGUGUGCCAAUGAUAUUACGUAAACUCCAAAAUGUUCAUAUGUGACGGGUAAGAGUCAUCCCAGGGUAUAAAGUAGGUUGGAUCUCCCAACAAACCAAACCAAAAAGAAAACUUCUAGUAUAUUAUGUGCAAAUUAUGCUAUCAUGUCCAAUGAUAUGUUUGUCAUAUUAAUCACAACAUUAUAGUACCGUGGGUUGUUUUGCUGUAAUCGUAGUAGAUUACUAUAAUAAAAUUACAUAUUUGCUUUUGAGUAGGAAAGAAAGAAAGUCCUGAGGGUGGGGUGUUUUGGUCUAUUUUAUUAACCCAUUCAUUAUUAAAAAAAUUAUUAAGGGUGUAGAAUUUAUUUUUUUGUACGAUAAAAAGAUUAUUUUACUUUCAAAGUCAACAAAACUUAAAGUGGUUGAAUAAUUUUUUUUUUUUUUACUUUUUAUAAAAUUUGAGAUAGUAAUAUUUUUUUUUAUCUAGGAUUAAAAAUUUUUUGGGCUAUUAGGCAAUGGUUUUUUUUCCCCUGUAUUUUUGGCCCUAGAUAAAACAGAAAACAAAAAAUCGGGUUUAUAUUUAGGGGUAUUUUUAUACUUUCACACGGGCUUUUAGAUAAUUAACAAAGUCAUAAGAGUUUUUUUAAUAUUUUUAAGUUGAGUUUUUAAUUUUUUAAUCAGAAAAGUUGUUGGUGUGUGGUAAACACACCGACAAGUAGAUGACGUCUGAGUCAUUCUAAUGUGAUCUAGUUGUCCCAUUUAAAACUUGAUUUGACUCCAAAAAAAACUUUAAGUUGUCAUUAUUUUAACCUUUGCGCAAUCCAAUCAAGUUCAAAUAAGGAAUAAUGGAUUGUGAUAUGAGGAAAUCGUGGUGAAACAAAAAGAUAAAACCAUAUUGGAUCAAACUCAAUCAAUCUAGGUAACACCUACCACAUGCGUUGGCAUGAUCAUGACAUGAUCACAAUAAGCUUAUAUGGUUUGGUUAUUUGUUUCUUUUAUUUUCCUUCCUUUAUUUUCUUCUAGGUUGGGUUUUUAUUGGGCUUUGGUAUGAUAAGACUUGGGAUCAAUUGAAGAGUUAUAAAAGACUUAGGAACCAAAUAAAAAAUAUUAAAAGAGUUAUAAAAGAAUCAAAGGUGAAAUAAAAAAUAUAUAAUAAGAGACUAAAUAAAAAUAAAAAAAGGUGCGUGCAAUGCACACAUCAAUAUGGAAAAAAGCUUGUCGUGUUUAAACAACGUGUGUAACUUUCUUUAAGUUAUGAUGAAGGAUGCCCUUUGUUGGAAUUGCCUCGGCGGCAUCUCUCUUCCAUGGCAUCAAUAGUGUAGUCAUGAUGGGGCGCUAACAACCUUUUUUUCUUGUAUUUUUUUUCUCCUCUAUUCCUUUUUUUCUCAUCCCCUUAAUUCUUGGGCAUGACCUGGAGAAGAAAAAAAAAAUAAUCACAAUUUUAAUCUACAAUAACUUAUUUAACUUCUUAGAAAAAAGCAUAAUCAUGCUUUCAAUGUCAAACCAUGUCAUCAUUAGGGGGAAAAAAUGAAAAUAUCGUGUAACUUAUAAAUCGCUCUUCAUGCUGAGAUUCUAAUUACCAUUUAUUUAUUUAUUUUAUCUACUCCAAUCAACAAUUUUCUUACUCUCAUGAAUUAUUAAUUUAAUGACUACAGCCGUAAAGAAUCCAAACAAAGGAAUAUUAGUUCCAAACACUAGUAAACAAGAUAUGGAGAUGGCCAUUCACACAAGUGCGUUUGGUAUUGUGGUGACUGUUGUGGUUGUGAUAUGAAAAAAGUACUUUCAUAAAAAAGUGCUUUUAGUUGAGGUUUGUCUGUAAAAAUAUAUGUUUGGUUAAAACUGUGAUUGAAAUUAAGGUUGAAGAAAAAAUUGUUUAAUGUGUUUGGUUCAAAAUUGUGGUUCAAUUUUUUUUAUUGUAUAAUUACCUAAAAGGACUUAAUUCAUAAUACUAAUGAACAAUCUCAUAAAAUUAACAUUACAACUAAUAAAUUUUUGCAAAUAGACCUAAACAUAUUAGAAUAAUAAUUUAUAAUUGUUUCAUUAAACUUGCAGCAAUCCCAUCACGUACGUAAUCCAUUCGCGAAGGCCUUUGGUGUCCUUGACUUUGUAAACGUGAAGCCACAUCAGUUAGAAAAUCAUCAGGCACAAAAUCAGGAUGGCGAUCAAACUCCAUGAAUGCCACAUCUUGCAUUGAAGUUCUUCUAAUGUAAUUAUGAAUUGCCAUGGAUGCGACAACAAUUUCAACUUGUGUCUUGUAAUUAAAGGAUGACAUAUUCUGUAGAAUUCGCCAUCUUUUUUUUCCAAACUCCAAAUGUUCGUUCUAUCACACAACGUAAUGAAGAGUGCAUACGGUUGAAAAUUUCUUCACGAGUUUGUGGUUGUCCUCGCCUCCUAAAUUCUUGCAAAUGAUAUCUCUGACCUCUAUAUGGACCUAAAAAUCCAUAUUCAUUAGGAUAUCCUGAAUCAACCAAGUAGUUUUUCACUGAUAAAACAUAUAAUUGUUUUAAAUUGAAAAUUAAAAAAACAAAAAAAAAAAACAAAAUUACAUUACUAAUCAUAUAUACAGACACACACAAACACGUAUUACUACCUUCUGGUGGCUUAGGAAAUUUUAUACGUGGAUUGUCAAUUGCCUCGAGAAAAAUUCGUGUAUCAUGUGCACUACCUUCCCAACCCUCCCAAACAAAUAUGAAUUGCAUGUCAAAGCUACAUGCAGCCAUAACAUUCUGGGUUGGCACACCUUUUCGACUGAUAAAUGGAAUUUGAUUUUCAAAAGAAACACAUGCACGUACAUGUGUAUCGUCGAUAGCUCCUACACAAUUCUAAUAUAUGAUAAACCAGCAAAAUAACAUCAAUUUCAGCUGACAAAAAAAUUAAAUUUCACAAAUUCAUGAAAUACGAAUCACCAUUAACAAAUACGAUUAACGACAUCACCUUGAAAUGUGGCAUGUACCUCGGAUUGUUCACAAUUUCCCUCGGUGUGUUUACGAACCCGGGAUCUGCAGGUUGAAUUAAAUCUGUAGCAAGCGAACAAACUGAUCUAAGAACUUCAUUAAAGUACCUACUAAUUGUUUCUCCUGAAUGUUGGAAUCUCUCUUGAACUUCCCUAUUGGAAGCAACUAAAGCUAUUGUAUAAAGAAAUAUUCCAACUUUUUCAAAAACACACAUUCUUCUAGAUGCCGUUAACCCGUAUUAGUUUUCAAGUUUAAAGCACAUACUCUGAAAUGUCGGCGCAUCCAUCCUAAACAUAAACACACAACGCGUCUAAUGUCCAUGUAGAAUUUCUGUCAACCAUUGCAUUCUAGUGUUGUAUGAAUCCAUACAAGGCUCCUUAUAUAUAUAAGUAUUAUAAUAUAAAGCUAUGGCACCUGCCGUGCAUAAAAUCAAUUUCUGAUCAUCAAACCCCCUUUCCCAAAAUAGCUCACCUUCUUCAUCUGAAUCGUCAUCGUUGUUGUCGUCAGUAUCAGAACUGUUACUACCACUGCAAUCUCCAUCGUUUAUAGACAAAUUCCCAUAAUUAACGUAAUCGGCAACGUUAUUCAUUACAUCAUCAUAAUCCCCAUCAAAAAGUAUUGAAAACCAAUGCGAAUCCAUAUCUAUCAUGCCAUAAAAUUUUUGUGAAUAAUUGAAAAUUGUAUGACUUUUUUACAAAAAAACACAAAUGGAUAAUGCAAACCGAAAUAAGUGUUAUUGUUCAAUAUCUCCACGUUUUAUGAAAUUUUGCUCGGCAUGUAAAUUUUAUAACGCAAUAUUUAUUUGCAAUUUAGUCCUUUACCUCCUUUGAUAGUGAAAUUGAAUUUCUUUUUCCAAAAUGCCUAUUAUCUCUAAUAUAAAUUUAUAAUUCCACUUGCUAUAAACAACCUAAAAAAUAGAAGUUUAAGAGCUAACUUCAGUCCAAUUCCAGAAACAAUCAGCAGUUCACACACAUAUUGUUUUUACCAUACAACAUUCAAAAUUGCAUUUCCAAAACUGAUUUAUGCGUGUGCAGCUAGAUGGAAACUAACUGACUUUGGAAAAACCAUAAACAUCAAGAGAUCAAAAAAGUCCAAUUCCCUAAACAGCCAUGAACAACUCACACACAAAUUUUUUGAACCAUAUAGCAUUGAAAAUUUCAUUCCCAUAACUGAUUUCUGCGUGUGGAGCUAAAUGAAAACUAACCUGACUUUGGAAAACCCAUAAACAUCAAGAGAUUAAAAAAUUUCAUUCCCAAAAUUUCAUUCCAAAAUUGACAAUUUUCUACCCUUCACUAUCCCAAUGAACUCCAUAAACAAACAUUUGAAAACCUAAGAAACUAACCUGUUAUAGAUGGAACUAAAUGGAAUUAGAUGGAACUUACCUAUUACUGAUGUAUAAAUAGCAACAAUCAGUAACACCAGCAAUUACAAACAACCACUCUUGAUUCAAAUGUACUAACACAUUCGGUUUCUACCAAGAAAUUAUCAAUAUCCAAGUGAAUAACUUCCAAUACUACUGCAAUUUAUAUACAAAUACAUAAGAAUUGAUGUAAUAUUCCAAAAACUGUUACCUAACUUUCAAAAGCUACCAUUCAAGAACAAGUUACUAAACAUUCAAAUGUGGCAUACACCAACUGAAAAUUUCGAAAUUAGCAACCUAAACCUUCCAUUCCAGAGCAACUAACCAAACAUUCAAAGUAUGAUACCAACAAGCAAUAGUCUCAGUUUCAUAAAAUAUUAUCACCAACCAUUCAACUUCAAGUAACCAAACUGAAAAGGAGUACUUUAACAAGCUAAACAUAACAUUCAAAGUUAAGCAUCCACAUAUUUAAGGUAACAUUGAAAGUUAAGCAUCCACAUAUUUAAGGUCUACAAUUUAGAAAUUAACAUCCAUGAAAUUGCAACCCAACAACACUAUUCAGUCAUACAUAUAUAGCAAAACAUACAUGGUUGUGGUGUUCCAAAAACUUAGCUACAUAAAUACACCAAAUCAUGGGCAACUCCUUCUAAUUCCAACAACAAUUGCAGCACAGAAAGUCUGCAAAACCAGUUGAAAAUAUUUCAUACAAAUUAAUAUAUUACUUAUCUACAGAAUUCAACAUAAAUGCAAAGACAAGAAUAGGGUUAAAAGCUAAAAACUGACCUUGUCCAUUUAAGUUUGUCUGUGUUGGUCAAACAUAAUUUGCAGCCAUGACAUUUUUCUGUCAAUACAACCUAUUGCAGCCCACAUCUCCCUCUUGCUCCUCGCACAAAAGAAUUUAGUUGCAAAGGUAUGCAAUGCACUACCAAAUGCAACUCCAUCAAUAGAGUGCAGUUCUUGCAUUACCUCUUCAAUGCUACAACCUUUUUUUUAUCUCUACAAGGAGCUGUGAUCCCUCUAGGCAUGGAGACAGUCUCAACAAGUUUAUCCAGACGUGCAACUAGUACUGCUCCCAUUCCAGUUCCCCUUUUCUUUUUUCACAAUUGAGGUGUAGGCUGAUGUGCACCUUCUCUUUGAACUGCUGGGGUUGCUGCUACUGUUGGCGACAUUGCUUCCACCAACCAUAUUGCUAACAUCAUGUGUGAAAUCAUGGAUUGCAUCCUCUUCAGAGUUGCCACUUCCUUCUUCCAUAUUAGUAUCCUCAUUGGUUGUAUUCCUCAUUCCAGCAGCCAUAUUAUCUUCAUCUGAUAAGAGUCCUUAUGAGGGAGUCCAAGCAUAUUCUCCCGUGGCCACUAUGUUAGUAAACAUGAUAUCGUACUUGGCACACAACGAGGGCUCUAUGUCGACAUGUCUAAACUUCUUUGCUCCUCUCAUUUCCUGUGCAAUGACAGCUAGAUGUAAUUAGGAAUGAUACUAGGUGAAUAAAUAAUACAACAUGAAAAAAAAAAUUAUGAGGCUAUUGCAAAUCAGCAAACUAACCUGAAUUUUUGAUUGCCACCAUUCAUCAGUUGCUGAGAUGGUCCCAAGUUCAGUAGACCAACCAACUCCAGUUUUAGCUAUUAAUUUCUUCUAUACCCUCCAAUCCUUUUUAAUCCCAUCCCAUUUAUUUUUAAGCUGAGAUUUUGAUAAUGAAAGGCCUGUCUGAUCUUUGAAUGACUGUACGAAAAAUUUCCAGCCAGCUUUGUCAAAAUAUGUGUUUGGUCUCAUGCCUCUCUUAAUAGCUGUAAUGCAAAUGUCGCAAAACGUGUGCAACAUUGCCUUGCUCCAAGAAGCUUUGUCAUGUGUGUCAAACCCAUCCAUUGCUUAUGGUUGACAAUGCAAUGAAAAAAUAAACAAUCAAUUAACCAAAUGAACAAGAGAUUGAAUGCUAAUAAGGCCAUAAUACAAUAGUAAUAGAACAGGAAAUUACAUGUGCAGCAAAAGGUCAACCAAAGAAUAACAAAAGGUUGAAUGUUGACAAGGAAUGAAAACAUAAAUAAAGAAAUUAUGUAUAGAAGAAUGGUUGACAAUGCAAGAUAGAAUUCAAAACACAAUUCAAUAUAGAUGAAUAAAGGUUUAAUGCUGAUAAGGGAUGAAAAAAAGAAACUAAGGAACUAGUUAAAAAAAAAUUGCAUGUUGUGAAGUGUGAACUAAGGAACUUAAUAGAAGGAUUGUCAUCAACCUAAAAACCUAGCCACUAUGCCAUAAUCCUAUAACUGUUUAUCAUCAAUUAGCAGGGGAUAUUCUAAUUAGCAACUGAAAUAAUUUGUUUAAGUUAUUAUGUUUAUAGUUGUUAGCAAUCAACAACAAACAAUAGAAUUAUGUAUAACAGAAUGGUUGACAAUGCAAGAUAGAGUUGAGAAUAAUGGAAUGUGUUGGGUUGUUCCUUAGCCAACCUUCCUAUUUAUAUAGAGGCAGCAGAUCAUUGCAGUAACUGUAAUGAUUACAACAUCCUAUAUUAGAAUCCUAUUAUGAUAGAUACAUGAGUAACUAUAAUGAUUACAACAUCUUAUAUUAGAAUCCUAUUCUGAUAGAUACAUGAGUAACUGUAAUGAUUACAACAUCCUAUAUUAGAAUCCUAUUCUAUAAUAUGCCCCAUCAAGCUGAGGGUGGGGGAUCAACCCGAAGCUUGAAUCGAAAAGCAGUAAAGGAUGCAACAUGAAGCGGUUUAGUGAAUACAUCGGCAAGUUGAUCCCGAGAGGGAACAAAAUGAAUCUGAAUUUCUUUCUUGGCAACACGGUCACGGACAAAGUGAUAAUCCACUUCAACAUGCUUAGUACAAGCAUGGAAGAUAGGAUUUGCUGAGAGAUAGGAAGCACCAAGAUUAUCACACCAAAUGGUAGGGGCAGAGACUGAGGGAACCUGCAAAUCUGUUAACAAGUAUUGAAGCCAAAUGACUUCAGCGGUACCAUCAACAAGGGCUUUAUACUCAGCCUCAGUAGAGGAGCGAGCAACAGUGUGUUGCUUGCUGGAUUUCCAAGAAAUCGGCGUCUGACCAAAAAAGACAAGAUAGCCGCCCGUAGACUUGCGAUCAUCAAUACUACCAGCCCAAUCUGCAUCUGUAAAGCCAUGUAGAGCAAAAGAGAAGCCUCGAGUGAUAUGGAAACCAUAAGAUGUCGUACCUUUAAGAUAACGUAAAAUACGUUUGACAGCUGCCCAAUGAGAAUCUGUAGGAGCAUGCAUAAACUGACAGACUCUGUUAACAGCAAAGCAUAUAUCUGGACGGGUGAAGGUAAGAUAUUGAAGAGCACCCACAAUUUGACGAAAUCGUGUAGGAUCAUAGAAUGAAUGAUCUGGUAAUAAAAUGACUUUCGAAGGGGAGACUGGAGUAUCAACUGGUUUGCAGGAAGUCAUACCAGCUCAAGUGAGGAUGUUAAGAAUAUAUUUAUGUUGACGCAACAUUAAACCCAUACUGGUAGACUGAACUUCAAUACCCAGAAAGUAGUGAACAACACCUAAGUCACGAAGCUUGAACUCAGAGCUGAGUAACUAUAUAAGGUGAUGGAGCAUAGCAGAGUUGCUACCCGUGAGCAGAAUAUCAUCAACAUACACUAGGAGAUAAAAGAUAUUAGUACCAUCAGAUAAGAUAAACAGGGAGGUGUCAACCUUGGAAGCUCGGAAACUGAUAGAGAGCAAAAAAUCACUUAGACGAGUGUACCAUGCUCUCGGUGCCUGUUUCAAACCAUACAAUGAUUUGUGCAAUCUGCACACAUGAGAUGGAAGAGUAGAGUCAACGAAACCUGGAGGCUGUUUCAUGUAGACCUCUUCAGUAAGAACACCAUUGAGGAAGGCAUUAUGAAUAUCAAGCUGAUGAAUCUUCCAAUUUUCCAAACCGCGAUAAAGAAAACCAAUCGUACAGUGGCCUGCUUAAUAACUGGACUGAAGGUUUCAGAAUAAUCAAUACCUUCCUGCUGGGUAAAACCUCUAGCAACAAGGCACGCUUUAUAGUGCUCAAUACUACCAUCAACACGACGUUUGAUCCGAUAUACCCAUCUACUGCCAACAACGUUCAUCGAAGGAUGAAAUGGAACCAAAGACCAAGUGCGAUUUUCGCGUAAAGCGGCGAUCUCAUCACACAUAGCAUUAUGCCAAACUGCAUACCGGUCAGCAUCAGAGAAUGCAAAAGGCUCAGAAGAGGGAGAAUACAGUACCCGUGUGGAGGUAGAAGUAGCGGCAGCAGAAGCAACCAGAUUAGCUGUCUUCGGCUGCCGCGGUCUAAGAGUCAUAGGAUGUCUGCUGUGUGCUGGUGGAGACACAGGGGAAGACGGUUGUAGCGAGGAGACCUGUGGCAGCUGAUAAGAAGACAAAUCAACCAUAAGUUGCAGACCAACGGGAGAGGAUGAUAAAGAAGCAGCCUCAAGCACAGGACUGUCAGCAGAGGAGGGGCUGGAAGUAGAGACUGAAGCUGCAGGAGUGCUGGCCAGGGAGGGCGAAGCAGAGGAGGGACUAGAAAGUGCCCCAAGACCAUGAGGAGAGGAGACCAAUUGACGAUCUGAACCUGCAUUAUAAGGGUUAGAUAAACAAGCAUGGGAUGAUGGCCAAGGGAUGGGCGGAGGCUGUGGUCGGUGGCUGUUUGGAGUGGCAAAGCGGAGUGUUGUGGGCUGUUUGGGUGGCUAGUGAAAGUGGGUGGCGGUGGGUGGUUUAGCAAAUUUGGAGGGUGACAGUAGGGGUGGGGUGGGGGUUGUGGUGGAGACCUUUGCAAUCUGUUCAGAAUUAUCAAAUGGAAACACAUGUUCAUGGAAGCGGACAUGACGGAAAUAUAAAUACGGUGAGAUGCAAUGUCAAGACAUCGAUAACCAAGAUGCGAGGAACUAUAUCCAAAAAACACACAUGGAGAGGAACGAAAAUCCAAUUUAUGAUUAUUAUAUGGACGCAGAAAAGGAAAACAGAGACACCCAAAGGUACGCAAAAAAUGAUAAUCAGGAGACCGUUGAAAUAAACAAUCAAACGGAGAGCGAUGGGCAAGAAUAGGAGUAGGCAUGCGAUUUAUAAGAUAAACAGAGGUUUCAAAAGCAUAAUUCCAGAAUCGAAAAGGUGCUUUACAUUGCCCUAAAAGAGUAAGACCUGUUUCCACAAUAUGCCUAUGACGACGCUCUACUGUUCCAUUUUGUUCAUGAGUGUGGGGACAAAUCAGACGAUGAUGAAUACCAAUGGUCUGAAAAAAUGUGGAUAGUUUUCGGUAUUCACCGCCCCAAUCAGUUUGAACAGAUUUUAUUUUUAAUGAAAAUUGACGUUCGACAAGAGUCUGAAAUUGAUGAAAAACAGAGUAAACAUCAGACUUGGCAACGAGAGGAUAAUACCAUACAUAUUUAGUAUAAGCAUCAACAAAGAUAACAAAAUAACGAUAGCCAUCUGAAGAAAAAAGAGGAGCAGGGCCCCAUACAUCACUAAAAAUUAAUUCAAGUGGAGCAGAAGUUUUGUGACCCGUAGGUCCUAAAGACAAACGCGAUGAUUUUCCUAAAGGACAACUUUGACAUUGAAAAUUAAGACGUUUGUUGUUACAAAUGAUCUUAUUUUUCGAGAUUAACAAUUGAAAAAUACGUGAAGUAGGAUGACCUAGUCGACGAUGCCAUAAAUCGGCAGAGGCAGAAGUGCAGGGAGACCAAUAGGCUUGAGGAACUGACGUGACGGAAGACUUGGUCAGGGCAUAGAGACCAUCUUUACUCUGACCUGAGAGAAGGACUUCAUGGGUGUUGAAAUCCUUGACAUAAAACACACGAGGGUGAAAUUCAAAAUAAACAUUAUUAUCAAGACAAAAUUUCUGAACAGAGAGCAGAGGUUUUGUGAUUGCAGGAACAUGAAGAACAUUAGAUAAGGUGAAAGAACGAUGUGGUGUAUAUAUUUUUGUAUGACCAAGAUGAGAUAUAGGAAGGCCCUUACCAUCACCAACAUGCAAAUUAUCAUUACCAAGAUACGGUUCUGAAGCGGUCAAGGUGGCAAGAUCAGGUGUGACGUGUUGAUUGGCACCGGUAUCUGGAAACCAAUCAACAGAACCGGUUGAGGAGAGAUUGCGCUGCACCAGGUUGGCAGUAGGUUGUUGGCCAUAACCUCGCUGCUGGAAUUGAGGGCAAUGGGAGCUGUAUGGCCGAAAUUCUGACACAGUUGGCAGCGUGGAUUCUGCCCCCUAUUGCGCUGCCAAGAGCCCUGCCUAUUGUCACCGAAGGAGGAGUUUUGGAAGCUGCGGUGAUCAGGUCUGGAGCCAGCAAAUCGGUUGCCUCUGCUGUUGGACUGGUUGGGACGCCAGCCACCGUUGAAGCGGCCCCUGCUGCGGCCAGAAUUGCCAAAAGUCUGGCGCUGCGCAACAAGAGCAGAAGAUGGAAUGCUGGGUGUGGGCAGCAGAGGAGCAUGUAUGGCAGCAGAAGAUUUGUGAAGAAAUUCAUGUGUGAGGAGAUGGCUGUGAAGAUCUGCAUAUGAUAAAGGUUCAGCCUUGGUAAUAAGACUGGUAACUAAGUCUUUAAACUCUCCCCGAAGACCACGAAACACAUAUAAAUUGAAAUCUUCAAGCGAAACUGGCCGACCAGCAGCGGCCAAUUCAUCAAAUAAGGCCUUCGCUUUUUGCAUAAAUUGAGUUACUGAUUCAUCACCCUGUCGAAGAUCCUGAAGAGAGCCGUGAAGUUGCAUAAUACGAGAGUUGGAGGUGGAAGCGAGAGCUCGCUCAAGAGUGCCCCAAGCUGAACAAGAACUUUGACAGCCAACAACAAGAUGCAAAACUUCCAUAGAUAGGGAGGAAAGAAGAGCACUUAGAAUGAGUUGGUCCUGUUGUUUCCAGGUUUGAAAAAGCGGAUUUACCUGAAGAGAGAUACCAUCAUGGGCAAGAACAUGUGUUGAUGGACAUGUGUUGGAGCCAUCAACAAAACCAAAAACUCCUUGGCCUAGGAGAUAAGGCAGCAUCUGCAUACGCCAAUAUAAAUAAUUGGUGUUUGUUAAUUUGAGGGAGAUGACUUGAUGAGUGUGAGAAAGGGAGAUAAUGCUUGCGGCAGUAGAGGCAGCAGACGUGGGCUGCUAGAGGAGGCGUUCACCAGCCAUGGCAGAGGAGAAUCCAGGCGGUGACGCAGCAGAGGAGGCGCUGCAAGAGAAGAGGGCUGCACUGUCGGAGAAGAAGAAAGCUGGACUACUAGUGCUGCAGAAUUUGAAGAUGUAUGUGGCGGCUGUUCCAUUGAAGAAGGGAGGCUGUGAGAAAAGUAGGUUUAAUUUAUUUUAGGGUUUUGUGGCUCUGAUACCAAGUUGAGAAUAAUGGAAUGUGUUGGGUUGUGCCUUAGCCAACCUUCCUAUUUAUAUAGAGGCAGCAGAACACUGCAGUAACUGUAAUGAUUAUAAUAUCCUAUAUUAGAAUCCUAUUCUGAUAGAUACAUGAGUAACUAUAAUGAUUACAACAUCCCAUAUUAGAAUCUUAUUCUAUAAUAAAUAGAAUUUAAAACACAAUUCAAUAUAGAUGAAUAAAGCUUUAAUGCUGAUAAGGGAUGAAAAAUAAUUGCAUGUUGUGAAGUGUGAACUAAGAAACUUAACAAAAGGUUUGUCAUCAAUUAGGAGGGGAUGUUCUAUAUAUAUAUAUAACUAUUAUUUUAAUGUACAUUUAAUAACUUUUUAUAUUUAUAUAUAUAUUAUUUUAAAUGUUUUAAUCUUAAAUGUUUAUUAUAUAUAUAGUUAUAUAUAGAGUAUAUAUAUUAUUUUAUAUAUAAGAGCAUGGAAAUACCAAGAUCGUCGUAAUGAGCAUUGAAGAUGUGGUUGACGAAUGUACAAUGUUCUACUUUGCUGGACAAGAAACAACCUCAGUUCUUCUUACCUGGACCAUGGUUUUAUUGGCUCAGUAUCCGAAUUGGCAAGCACGCGCAAGAGAAGAGGUUGUGCAAGUCUUCGGUAACAAAAAACCAGAUUUUGAUGGGAUAAAUCACCUUAAAGUUGUGAGUAUUUCUCUGCAUUUGCAACUGAAUUCUUGUACAUCAAUAUUGUUUUAUUAUUGUUA
rnacentral:lncRNA from 1 species